rnacentral:rRNA from 1 species
ACGAACGCUGGCGGCGUGCUUAACACCUGCAAGUCGAACGGAAAGGCCCUGCUUUUGUGGGGUGCUCGAGUGGCGAACGGGUGAGUAACACGUGAGUAACCUGCCCUUGACUUUGGGAUAACUUCAGGAAACUGGGGCUAAUACCGGAUAGGAGCUCCUGCUGCAUGGUGGGGGUUGGAAAGUUUCGGCGGUUGGGGAUGGACUCGCGGCUUAUCAGCUUGUUGGUGGGGUAGUGGCUUACCAAGGCUUUGACGGGUAGCCGGCCUGAGAGGGUGACCGGCCACAUUGGGACUGAGAUACGGCCCAGACUCCUACGGGAGGCAGCAGUGGGGAAUAUUGCACAAUGGGCGGAAGCCUGAUGCAGCAACGCCGCGUGCGGGAUGACGGCCUUCGGGUUGUAAACCGCUUUCGCCUGUGACGAGGCGUGAGUGACGGUAAUGGGUAAAGAAGCACCGGCUAACUACGUG